UACGGAGGGUGCAAGCGUUAUCCGGAUUCACUGGGUUUAAAGGGUGCGUAGGCGGACAGGUAAGUCAGUGGUGAAAUCUCCGAGCUUAACUCGGAAACUGCCUUUGAUACUCUCUGUCUUGAAUAUGGUGGAGGUAAGCGGAAUAUGUCAUGUAGCGGUGAAAUGCUUAGAGAUGACAUAGAACACCUAUUGCGAAGGCAGCUUACUACGCCUAUAUUGACGCUGAGGCACGAAAAGUGCGUG
rnacentral:rRNA from 1 species